CGCAAGAAUUGCUAAGUGAAUUAAAUAUUGCGGGCCAUUUAUUGGAAAUAUUUAAUGAGUGUGGAGUUGAUUUGACGGAUUUGUUGACGAUUACGGCGGAUCAAAUCCGCACAUCCUUGGAACCCACACAAAUCAAGUGGAGGUAUUCGGUUCUCUACGAAUUAAUUUCGUCCUGGCGAACACGAAACGUAAGCCAAUAAUUAUACUACAAAUAUAUUAUUCUUACUAAUAUGUUGCUUCUUUUUUAUGUUUUUUACAGGAAUCAAAAAUCAACGAUUUAGUAGUCCAGCUACAACCGGGCUACCGUUUGUGCCUUACGGGGAAUGUUUUUUACGACGGAACUUCCCUUGGGUCUAACAAAACCUCAGCAGGAACGAGCACCAGCAGCGAUCCGGCCAACCAAGCCUCUUCCAAUAGCAGCUCGGGACCAAUUGCGGCGAGUCCCGUAAUAAUAUCAUCGGCAUGUGAUACGACCGCUACCACUACAGUUGAUCAGGUUACGUCGGUGGAAAUCAGAGAGCAUCAGUGUAAACGCGAAGAGCAAACCCAAGAAGAACCGGCUAAACAGGGAUUCACCGGAGAGGCAAAUAUUGUCCCGUUAUUUGCUGAAUUCACCGAUGAAGUAAAAAAAUGUUUACCUAUAGUAGAGGUUUUAAAGAUUGACUUGUUUGAUAGCUUCCCAGUAUCAGUGCAUAAAAUUAGUGAUAAGUCGUAUUUUAGAGUGAAGAACAGUUUCAAUGACUAAUGUAUGUGCAAGGUAAUUCAAUAAAUAAAUAUAGAUGUUUAUGUAUGUUGUAAGAGUUACUUUGAACGUUUAUUUCAAUAUUUGCAUUAUUGCCCUUCUAUGGACAAUAAUGU